GCCUGAGCCUUCAUUAUAGCUCAGUUGGUAGAGCAUGAGACUCUUCAUCUCAGGGUCUUGGGUUUGAGCCCAACGUUGGGCA
rnacentral:tRNA from 1 species